rnacentral:rRNA from 1 species
GAUGAACGCUGGCGGCGUGCCUAAUACAUGCAAGUCGAGCGAACGGACGAGAAGCUUGCUUCUCUGAUGUUAGCGGCGGACGGGUGAGUAACACGUGGAUAACCUACCUAUAAGACUGGGAUAACUUCGGGAAACCGGAGCUAAUACCAUAUAAUAUUUUGCACCGCAUGGGUCAAAAGUGAAAGACGGUGUUGCUGUCACUUAUAGAUGGAUCCGCGCUGCAUUAUCUGGUUGGUAACGUAACGGCUUACCAAGGCAACGAUGCAUAGCCGACCUGAGGGGGUGAUCGGCCACACUGGAACUGAGACGCGGUCCAGGCUCCUACGGAGGCAGCAGUAGGGAAUCGUACGCAAUGGGCGAAAGCCUGACGGAGCAACGCCGCGUGAGUGAAGAAGGUCCUCGGAUCGUAAAACUCUGUUAUUAGGGAAGAACAUAUGUGUAAGUAACUGUGCACAUCUUGACGGUACCUAAUCAGAAAGCCACGGCUAACUACGUG